rnacentral:rRNA from 1 species
GAUGAACGCUAGCGGCAGGCCUAAUACAUGCAAGUCGAGGGGCAGCAGGAGUAGCAAUAUUCGCUGGCGACCGGCGCACGGGUGCGUAACACGUAUACAAUCUGCCUUUAACAGGGGGAGUAGCCCGGACGAAAUCCGGAUUAAUACCCACUAACACUAAGAGUAGCACUACUUUGUUAAAGACUCCGGCGGUUAGAGAUGAGUAUGCGUCUGAUUAGUCUUGUUGGUGAGGUAACGGCUCACCAAGGCAACGAUCAGUAGGGGAGUCUGAGAGGAUUAACCCCACCACGGAGUACUGAGACACGGAGUCCG